rnacentral:rRNA from 1 species
UACAGGGGGUGCAAACGUUGCUCGGAAUUAUUGGGCGUAAAGAGCUCGUAGGCGGUUUGUCGCGUCUGGUGUGAAAAUCCAGGGCUCAACCCUGGACCUGCAUUCGAUACGGGCAGACUAGAGUUCGGUAGGGGAGACUGGAAUUCCUGGUGUAGCGGUGAAAUGCGCAGAUAUCAGGAGGAACACCGGUGGCGAAGGCGGGUCUCUGGGCCGAAACUGACGCUGAGGAGCGAAAGCGUGGGGAGCAAACAGG